GGGCGGUUAGCUCAGCUGGUUAGAGCGUCUGCUCGACACGCAGAAGGUCAGUGGUUCGAGCCCACUACCGCCCACCA
rnacentral:tRNA from 1 species